rnacentral:misc_RNA from 1 species
AACGCAUAUUGCGCCUCUUGGUAUUCCAAGAGGCAUGCCUGUUCGAGCGUCAUUAAUAUUCUAAGGCUUGGCCUUGUAUUGCUAUAACGGUUAUGUUGUAGUUAAAGUGAUUGUUGUCAUCAAUUAAUUGGCCUGUAGUUACUAUACAGACUCUUUAUUUGAAUGCAACUAUAAUUAUCUAGUUUUGACCUCGGAUCAGGUAGGGAUACCCGCUGAACUUAA